rnacentral:misc_RNA from 1 species
GAUGAAGAACGUAGUGAAAUGCGAUAAGUAAUGUGAAUUGCAGAAUUCAGUGAAUCAUCGAAUCUUUGAACGCACAUUGCGCCCCUUGGUAUUCCAUGGGGCAUGCCUGUUCGAGCGUCAUUUGUACCUUCAAGCUCUGCUUGGUGUUGGGUGUUUGUCUCGCCUCUGCGCGUAGACUCGCCUCAAAACAAUUGGCAGCCGGCGUAUUGAUUUCGGAGCGCAGUACAUCUCGCGCCUUGCACUCAUAACGACGACGUCCAAAAGUACAUUUUUACACUCUUGACCUCGGAUCAGGUAGGGAUACCCGCUGAACUUAAGCAUAUCAAUAAGCGGAGGA